GCAGGCAGUUGCCUGCCAGCAACACGAGAUGAUCAUACCACAUAUCGCUAACCUGAGAGAAGAUCCAAAUUCAAAAUCCAAAGUACAGCUUCUACUGGAUGUGCAUCGCUUUCAUAUCAUCUUAAAGUUGAAAACUUGAAAAUCAAGCCAUGGCUAUUUUCACCCUGUUGCAACAUUCUCAGGAUACAUACCCAACUGAAGGGGAUGGAGUGGUAAGCCUGAGAAAAGCUACAGGCCAGGGGCUUAAAGGCUGUCAACUGAGGACAAGGAAGCUCAUGUGGACACUGUGAACACACACAAAAGACAUGAGGUAAUCCCUACACCCAACGUGGGGCUUGAGCUCGCAACCUGGAGAUGAAGAGUAGCAUGCUCCACCAACUGAGCCAGCCAGGCAACCCUGUCUAUGAGAUUUCUUAAGAACAAUAUAAUUUUGUAAUUUGACAAGGACCUGCACCUCUACCUUAUGCAUGCCUUAGUGUAUGUCUUCCUGAUAAGGGACAAGGAGUUAAUGAUUUCUUUGGAGUCUUCCAGCAGAGUAGAUAACAUCUAAGGAGUGACCAGGCAAGAAUGAGCAGAAGGCUGAUUGGUAACACACAUCAUCCAGGGAACCUAUGUUUUGAUACAAGGGAACCUAUAUUUUGAUACAAGAAUAUUUUUCUCUAAGAUGAAUCAUGAUUGACUUCUUCUUUGAUCUCCUACCCUUCUUUCUUACGAAGGCAAAGUUUGGUGUCAAGAAGAACAUAUGAACUUAGUAUGAGGACAGGGAGCCAUCCUCGAGCUUUAUUCCAGCUCUCGAUAUGAUGUGGUUCCAGCUAAAGAUGGUUCCUGUCCUGGUUAGUAGGUCUUGGGAAAGGAAAGGCGAUGGUCGUGGAAGGAAAGAGAGUGCUGAUGGCUGAAAGCACAGGUGGCUGAAAGGGAAUGUAAGGGCUCCUGGGCAGGGAGGAGGCAAAACGUGCAUGACUCACCCUUGCUUGAAAUCUCCCAACCUCUGCUCAUUUCCCUCAGAUGCUGAUAGCACCAGUGACCCAGAAACAUAUGAGGAGCCCAGGGUCCCAUGUCCUCAAGUCUCCUUUCUGUAGUCCUGCAAAUCCUUUCCACCUGAAGUAGCUACCGUCCAUACAAUUGUGUCCAUACAACCACUCUUGUUGAAAGCAGCAUACAAGUCGAUGAUGUGUUGGAUGUCUUCUGUUUGAAGGAAGGAAGGCAGAUAGAUUGGCCUAAAGGCACAGCUGAAAAUUUAUUUUUUUUGCCUCCAUUUCAGCAAUAUCAGUGGUUUUUACAGUCUAGAUUUUUACACAAUUUAUGUUCCUCUGACAGUAAUGGAUAUGCAAUUAGCUAAUCUUUCUUGGAUUGUUGUAAGCUAUUAC